rnacentral:rRNA from 1 species
UACGGAGGGUGCAAGCGUUAAUCGGAAUUACUGGGCGUAAAGGGCUCGUAGGCGGCCAACUAAGUCAGACGUGAAAUCCCUCGGCUUAACCGGGGAACUGCGUCUGAUACUGGAUGGCUUGAGUUUGGGAGAGGGAUGCGGAAUUCCAGGUGUAGCGGUGAAAUGCGUAGAUAUCUGGAGGAACACCGGUGGCGAAGGCGGCAUCCUGGACCGGUACUGACGCUGAGGAGCGAAAGCGUGGGGAGCAAACAGG